rnacentral:tRNA from 1 species
UAGACUUUAAGUUAUUAAAACUAAGAGCUUUCAAAGCUUUAAAAAAGCAAUGCUUAAGUUUAA